rnacentral:misc_RNA from 1 species
CCGAGUUUACAACUCCCAAACCCAAUGUGAACGUUACCAAACUGUUGCCUCGGCGGGAUUUCUGCCCCGGGCGCGUCGCAGCCCCGGACCAAGGCGCCCGCCGGAGGACCAAUUUACAAACUCUUUGUAUGUCCCUCUGCGGAUUUUUAUUAUACAUUCUGAGCUUUCUCGGCGCUCCUAGCGAGCGUUUCGAAAAUGAAUCA